rnacentral:rRNA from 1 species
GGCCAGCCGCCGCGGUAAUACGUAGGGUCUAAGCGUUAAUCGGAAUUACUGGGCGUAAAGCGUGCGCAGGCGGUUGUGCAAGACCGAUGUGAAAUCCCCGGGCUUAACCUGGGAAUCGCAUUGGUGACUGCACGGCUAGAGUGUGUCAGAGGGGGGUAGAAUUCCACGUGUAGCAGUGAAAUGCGUAGAGAUGUGGAGGAAUACCGAUGGCGAAGGCAGCCCCCUGGGAUAACACUGACGCUCAUGCCCCUAACCGUGUGGAGCAAACCGGAUUAGAUG